rnacentral:rRNA from 1 species
CCUACGGGAGGCAGCAGUGAGGAAUAUUGGUCAAUGGACGCGAGUCUGAACCAGCCAAGUAGCGUGAAGGAUGACUGCCCUAUGGGUUGUAAACUUCUUUUAUAUGGGAAUAAACUGUUCCACGUGUGGGAUUUUGUAUGUACCAUAUGAAUAAGGAUCGGCUAACUCCGUGCCAGCAGCCGCGGUAAUACGGAGGAUCCGAGCGUUAUCCGGAUUUAUUGGGUUUAAAGGGAGCGUAGGUGGAUUGUUAAGUGAGUUGUGAAAUUUUGCGGCUCAACCGUGGAACUGCAGUUGAAACUGGCAGUCUUGAGUACAGGAGAGGUGGGCGGAAUUCGUGGUGUAGCGGUGAAAUGCUUAGAUAUCACGAAGAACACCGAUUGCGAAGGCAGCUCACUGGACGGCAAAUGACACUGAGGCUCGAAAGUGUGGGUAUCAAACAGGAUUAGAUACCCGUGUAGUC